rnacentral:rRNA from 1 species
UACGGGGGGGGCAAGCGUUGUUCGGAAUUACUGGGCGUAAAGGGCUCGUAGGUGGUCAACUAAGUCGGACGUGAAAUCCCUCGGCUUAACCGGGGAACUGCGUCCGAUACUGGAUGACUUGAGUUCGGGAGAGGGAUGCGGAAUUCCAGGUGUAGCGGUGAAAUGCGUAGAUAUCUGGAGGAACACCGGUGGCGAAGGCGGUUCUCUGGGCCUGUACUGACGCUGAGGAGCGAAAGCGUGGGGAGCGAACAGG